ensembl:snoRNA small nucleolar RNA SNORA42/SNORA80 family
GCAUGUCUUGAUUUAUGGUUGGACCUAUCAUAUGGUCCUGUCAUAGUGUACGACAUGCAAAAGAAACCUACUCCGAACCAUUGACAGGUCUCUGACCAUAGGCCUGAAUCACUGAUGUGAGUAGAACAGCU